AGGCAGCUUGCUGGACUGUNACUGACGCUGAGGCACGAAAGCGUGGGGAUCAAACAGGAUNAGAUACCCUGGUAGUCCACGCCGUAAACGAUGAAUGCUAGCUGUUAGCGAUAUACUGUUAGCGGCACAGAGAAAUCGUUAAGCAUUCCACCUGGGGAGUACGCCGGCAACGGUGAAACUCAAAGGAAUUGACGGGGGCCCGCACAAGCGGAGGAACAUGUGGUUUAAUUCGAUGAUACGCGAGGAACCUUACCUGGGCUUAAAUUGCAGUGGAAUAACGUGGAAACAUGUUAGCCUUCGGGCCGCUGUGAAGGUGCUGCAUGGUUGUCGUCAGCUCGUGCCGUGAGGUGUCGGCUUAAGUGCCAUAACGAGCGCAACCCUCAUCGAUAGUUACUAACAGGUUAAGCUGAGGACUCUAUCGAGACUGCCGACGUAAGUCGUGAGGAAGGUGGGGAUGACGUCAAAUCAGCACGGCCCUUACGUCCAGGGCUACACACGUGUUACAAUGGGAGGUACAAAGGGCAGCUACCUGGCGACAGGAUGCUAAUCUCAAAAACCUCUCUCAGUUCGGAUUGGAGUCUGCAACCCGACUCCAUGAAGCUGGAUUCGCUAGUAAUCGCGCAUCAGCCACGGCGCGGUGAAUACGUUCCCGGGCCUUGUACACACCGCCCGUCAAGCCAUGGGAGCCGGGGGGACCUGAAGUAUGCAACCGUAAGGAGCGUCCUAGGGUAAAACUGGUGACUGGGGCU
rnacentral:rRNA from 1 species